AGCAGUCGCCGCGGGAAUACGAAGGGUGCAAGCGUUACUCGGAAUUACUGGGCGUAAAGCGUGCGUAGGUGGUGGUUUAAGUCCGUUGUGAAAGCCCUGGGCUCAACCUGGGAAUUGCAGUGGAUACUGGGUCACUAGAGUGUGGUAGAGGAUAGUGGAAUUUCCGGUGUAGCAGUGAAAUGCGUAGAGAUCGGAAGGAACAUCUGUGGCGAAGGCGACUAUCUGGGCCAACACUGACACUGAGGCACGAAAGCGUGGGGAGCAAACAGGAUUAGAUACCCCCGUGUCCCUGUCUCUUAUACA
rnacentral:rRNA from 1 species